ensembl:snRNA U6 U6 spliceosomal RNA
GUGCUUGCUUCAGCACACACAUUAAGUUAGAACAGUGCAAGGAAGGUCAGCAUGGUCCCUGUGUAGGAUGACAUUCACUUUCUUAAAGCAUUUGAUAUUUAA